GCCAAGGAUCAGUGCUGGUGUGGGCUGUGGGAGCAUGCAGCAGUGGAAGAGGCCCCAUGGACUAAGAUCUGAAAACAGGGGCUAGCAUUGCUCCCCUGCAUUUCCUGUAAUUGCUUUUCCUUUUUUCUGCUUCUGGUACCUACUUCUUGAGAGAGGCUGGGGAAAGCACCUGAUUCUCAAACCCGCAGAAGCUGGAGGCUUCCAAGAGGGUAGGAGAAAAUGAGCUCCCCUUGUGGAGAGAAGCAAAUGUUUCUCAAACCCAGCCUGAAUUUUGGUGAGCCAUGGCAGCACUGGUGGAGACAGCAGAAGACAAAACUAGGCGCGGCAGGAAAAGGUCAGGGAGAGAAGAAGGCAUCAGUGAGCAGACAGGAACGUUUUACCUAACCCCAGCGUGCCAGAAGGAGGAGAUCAAAUUCAGUCCAGACUGGAUAGACUAAAAAUCAUUCCCAUCUGACGUCCAGGAAAAGGUCAGGAAUUAAAGGAGCACUGGCAGUGGUGCACAGUUCCCAGCUU